rnacentral:rRNA from 1 species
GACGAACGCUGGCGGCGUGCUUAACACAUGCAAGUCGAACGAGUGGCGAACGGGUGAGUAAUACGUGAGUAACCUGCCUUCCUUUUGGGAUAAGCAUUGGAAACGGGGUCUAAUACCGGAUAAAGGGGGAUGGGCUCGCGGCCUAUCAGCUUGUUGGGGGAGUGAUGGCCUACCACGGCGGUGACGGGGAUCCGGUCUGAGAGGGUGACCGUCCACGUUAGGAAUGAGAGACCUACCAGCCUACUACGGGAAGCAGCAGUGGAGGAUAUUGCACAAUGGGCGAAAGCAUGAUGCAGCGACGCCGGGUGGGUGAUGAAGGCUUUCGGGUUAUAAACCUCUUUCGCAAUCAAACGGGUAGGUGGAGAAGAAGCGCCGGCUAACUACGUGCCAGCAGCCGCGGUAAUAC